AUCUCUAGCUACGCCUUCCUCUAAGCUCCGGGAGCCCAGGAGAGCGCUCAUUUUAGGAUUUGGGAGAGGGGUAAAAAGAGGAAAGGCGGCCCCCGCUCUGCGCUGGCCUUGCUGCCCCGGGGAGGGAGGACUCUGGCCAGCGCCCCCCUCCUGGCGGGCGGCCCUGGGAGCCAGCCGGGGAGCGCGCGGAGCGGGCGGCGCAGGGAGCUGUCCGGUUCAGCACCACCCGUAAUGCAGUAGGUGGGAGCGCCUCCGCGGGCGCCCAGCCGGUAGCGAGUGGGGGGCAGGCGCGCGGCCCACCCUGCAGCAAGACGCCGGCUCCCUCGUUUCCAGGAGCUUUGCAGAUAGGGGGAGGGAAAUCCGCCUCGAUUCUCCAGGAGAAACCCCCUCUCUCCCCCACUUCGCCAACACUACCCCCGCCACCAACAACAAUAACCGCCGCCGCUGCUCGUCCUGCUGCCGCCGCCGCCGCCGCGCCUGCCCGCCCUGCCGCCGCCGCCGCCGCCGCCGCCGCUGCCCGGGCAAAACCAUGGAAAGCGAGACCCCCGCACCUGUGCAGCUGAGCUCAAGGGCUUACAGAAUACUGGGAAGUCUGGUCUGAAACGAAAGCGCCGAGACCCCCCAAGGAAGAGAACUGGCGAAGCAAAGGAUUUUCAUGGCGCAGGCCGCAGAGCCGAGAACGAAGACCGAAGGUUGCAUCUCGGCUCUCACAGUCUCUAACUGUCUAGGUCCCGACCAUGAGAAAUGGUGUUGAGAAUUCGGCUGUUCCCUGGUUCACUGUGGAAGCCAUCUCCAAAUUAACUAUCACAUAUGGAAACUGGAGACCAGAAUUUUAGAAAAAGAGAUUAAGGCAUCUCACUUGGGGGGGUGGGGGGUGUCUUUUUAUUUUUUUUUUCCUUUUCUUUUUAAAAAAAAAACACUGCAACUGGAACAGUUUCUGAUCUCAAAAGGCAAGCCUCUUCCCGUGUGAUCUUUAUAAUUUACACUCUUUUCCGUGAGCUUUCUUACCUCCCUUUUUUUAUAACUCUCCAUAUUCUCUAUUCAUACAUAUAUCCAUUAUAUUAGUAGUGGAAUAAUUUUUAUUUUUAUUUAUUUUUUUUGGCUUUAGUACUUGCACCCUCACACACACUCUCCCGAGAACCAGAAGUCGGUUGGGUGUUUAUAUAAUGAAGAAUUAUGGGGCUGUUUGAUCGAGGUGUUCAAAUGCUUUUAACCACCGUUGGUGCUUUCGCUGCCUUCAGCCUGAUGACCAUAGCUGUGGGAACCGACUAUUGGCUCUACUCCAGAGGGGUUUGCAAGACCAAAAGUGUCAGUGAGAAUGAAACCAGCAAAAAGAACGAGGAAGUUAUGACCCAUUCCGGAUUAUGGAGAACCUGCUGCCUAGAAGGGAAUUUCAAAGGUCUGUGCAAGCAAAUUGAUCACUUCCCAGAGGAUGCAGAUUACGAAGCUGACACAGCAGAAUAUUUCCUCCGGGCCGUGAGGGCCUCCAGCAUUUUCCCAAUCCUGAGUGUGAUUCUGCUUUUCAUGGGUGGCCUCUGCAUCGCAGCCAGCGAGUUCUACAAAACUCGACACAACAUCAUCCUGAGUGCCGGCAUCUUCUUCGUGUCUGCAGAUCUGGAAACUCAAACCAAGGUUAACUUGCGAAGGCUUUGAACGCAGGCCAGCCUGGCUCCAUCAGCCCGCCUUCACCCGCUGCUACACCAGCUUUGAAGCCCUGUGCAGCCUUAAGCAAGUUCCUUAACCUCUCUGUGCUUGUUUCCUCAUCUGUGCCCUGCUUGAGAAGCACCAAGCAGUGAAAGCAGGUCUGAGUAACAUCAUUGGCAUCAUAGUGUACAUAUCUGCCAAUGCCGGAGACCCCUCCAAGAGCGACUCCAAAAAGAAUAGUUACUCAUACGGCUGGUCCUUCUACUUCGGGGCCCUGUCCUUCAUCAUCGCCGAGAUGGUCGGGGUGCUGGCGGUGCACAUGUUUAUCGACCGGCACAAACAGCUGCGGGCCACGGCCCGCGCCACGGACUACCUCCAGGCCUCUGCCAUCACCCGCAUCCCCAGCUACCGCUACCGCUACCAGCGCCGCAGCCGCUCCAGCUCGCGCUCCACGGAGCCCUCACACUCCAGGGACGCCUCCCCCGUGGGCAUCAAGGGCUUCAACACCCUGCCGUCCACGGAGAUCUCCAUGUACACGCUCAGCAGGGACCCCCUGAAGGCCGCCACCACGCCCACCGCCACCUACAACUCCGACAGGGAUAACAGCUUCCUCCAGGUUCACAACUGUAUCCAGAAGGAGAACAAGGACUCUCUCCACUCCAACACAGCCAACCGCCGGACCACCCCCGUAUAAAGACCGCGGGCCUCGCCAGAAGACCGCGGGAGGAGGGCGCGGUCCCCGGGGGCGGGGCGGGGCGGGGAGACCCAGACCCUCCGCUGGGAGACCUUCCAAAAGCAAAAACAAAAAACAAAAAAAACAAAAAAACAAAAAACAAAAAAACACACACACACAAAAAAAGAGAAAAAACAUAACAAGUAAAUUUUAAAAAAAAGAACAAAAUAUAAGAGGAACAAAGAAGCAAAACAACAGGAAAUGUGGGAAAAUAUAAACGAGGGAAGAAAACAAACUUUAAAAAAAAGCGAGAGGGAUAAAAAAUUAAAAAUAGAAAAUAAAUCUAAAAGAAAAUGCAUGAUUUCCCAUGUACCAUUAUUUUAACAUUUAAUAAAAAUCAAUUUAAAUGAAAAAAUAAAAGGGAACCAAGAUAACAUUAAAGCAAAAAAAAAAAAAAUGAGAACAGAAAGGAAAGGGGAUGUCCUUUGUAUUUUUCAGGGUUUAUGUUACUUUUUUUUUUUUUUUUUAACUCGGGGAGAGUUACUUUUCUGUUCCCUUUAACCCCCAGCGGGCCCUGCCUCCCUGGGAGAUUGGGGGGCGAGACUCAGGGGCCCUGGGGCCAGGUGAGCCUGCAGUCACUGCCAGGUCCCUGGAGCCCCUGGGUGGGUGCCCCAGGAACUCCAGGAAGGCUCAGAGCUCGAGCCGGCUCCGCCCAGCAUUGAUGGGGCAAUCGUAGGCCUCCAGGUGACCGAGCCCUUGUCCCUCCUCUCCGUUAGGGUGCCUGGAGGGGGGUACACUUGGGGCUUGCCUGGCCCCAGGUUCCCAGUCCUUAAUGCUCCUUAACCCACUGUGAUGACUUCCUAGGCCUUGAGGAAAGGGAAGGAGAGGGGAGGCUGCCGGUGGCUUACCAAGAUGCCGGAAACCCCGGAAUCCUCAGGGUGAGCCUCUUGGGGUCAUGUCCCCAAGCUCCUGUCCUUGGGGUCAGGAGAUGCCACCCCCCCCCCCGGGGGACAUGAAACAGCUCUCCCUCCUCACCCCUCACCUCAGGGCCACCUGAUGACCCUGGGGCGAUGGUGGACCCCCUGACUCAUAAGCCCCCCAGUCCCCUGGGAAGGGGGUUCAUUGACCCUUUGGGGGUCCUUGGACUCACUGAUGCCCCCUUGGGGCCCAGCGGGUUCAACAAUGACACUGCAAAAAGGCUUCUUUUUACAAAAGAAAAAGGAAAAACAAGUGGUGAUUUUUUUUUAAUAAAAAAACCACAGACUAUAAAUAAAUGUAAAUACAAAAUAAGUGGAUUUACUUGCAAGAAAAUCAGAUAGUAUUUUUCUUUUAAUUCUUUUCCAGCUUUAAACUGUGAAAACAAAAAAUGGGGCGGGGUGGGGGACUUAAACUUUAGCAGGGAACUUGUAAAGAAAAAAAAAACAGAAAACGAAUAUACAAAUCCAUUUACAAAAACAAAGCAAAACCGUUGUGAGAGGUGAGAGCUGGGCUUGAAGGUUGGAGGGAGUAGCGGAAGGUCCCAGUGAGCUGCAGGGGGUCUCUGUGAUGGAAAGGUGGCUUCCUCAGACAAGGAAGGUGCUGCGAAUGGGGGAAGACAGAAUCCAACAAAGAAAGAGACCACACACCCCACACGCACACAGGCACGUUCACACACACAUACACAGUCCACUUAGCCCAGCACUGCAGUCACUCACAGGGACACACUCAGUCUCAACCCUUCCAUCCCAUACACGGCCAGGGGCGUGGCUCAAAGGAAAUUGACUCAUGCCCUCCAAAGCCAUGGACGACAACAACUCCACACUGGCCUUUGUGUUCAUUCACAACCUCCCAACAGAGCAUACACAUGAACACACACAUGCACACAUACCCACACACGCACACAUACCCACACACACACACACACCACUCGCAUGCAUGGGAAGGGCACCCGUCUAGAAUCCAGGACUGGAUUCCGGAAUUCCUUGCUGCAUGGCCUCUCUGGGCCUUAAUUUUCCCCCCAUGUAAGCAUGUGGAUUGACCCAGAGAAGCACUAAAGGCCCAUUCUUGCUCUAUGUAUCUGUGACUUAAGAUCUGCCACCUGCCCCGAGGAUAUGCCAGGGAUGACCAGGACAGCUGCCACCAAGCCCCCAGGCUCAUCAUCAGUCAGCCUCUCAGACACACACACACACACACACCAUAUACCUCCUCACUGUGCUCCCCGAACACCUGCCCCCACAUCCAAUGUCAAAGCAAAAAUACACACAUGUGAGCAAACAUAAAGCUGUUCAGGCAAAGAGGGGAAAGACGCAGGGGUCCCCAAAGCCCUUCUUCACUUUGUGUCCCCUUGCUGCGAUCAUGGAGAGUUAAAGAGGCUUCCUUGGGAGAAGAGCUCUGCCACCAGGGCUUCCCCAGUGUCUUUGGGGGUCUGUGAAAAAGAGGAUCCUCUGAGGUUUACUGGGAGGGCUCAAGGCUGAGGGAAUGGAGAGGAAAAUUUUAGCAGUUCCAUCCCAGUGUAAGGACCAACCCCAAAAGUUAAACUUGCACCACAGACUAAAGGUCAAGGGCAUCCUGUGUUUCUCCCCUUUCUUCCCCAGAGUGACAAGGGCCAGUUCAGACUGACAGAAAUCCAACAGCUUUCCUGAGCUGGAAAUUUCAGAACAGUCUGCAAGUUACUCCCAGGUGACUGAAGGUCAAGGUGAGGCCCCCCUGCCUCUGCCUGCGAGUCUCCCCCGGUUUGCAUUUUUCUUGACACCGGCAUUUCCUGAGGUUGAGCUCUCUGGGGAGUUCUAGAGAAUGGCUAGUAAGGCUUUUUGAGCUUGCACAUCUCACCUGCCUUUCCUGUCUUUUGCCUGGGAAAGGAAAGUUAUUUUCCCAGGUCAGCAAGGGGCAGAACAUCGGCCAGCCCAGCCCAGAAGUACAGGGGGAGGUCAUGGGCCCUGGGGCAGAACAAUGGGAGACAAUUCAAGGUGUGGUAACAACAACCAAGUUGCCCUCAGUCUGGGCAGAAACUGAACUCUACCCCUCUCCCACCCCAAUCUUGCCCGCCAUCCCACCAGAUUCCAGACCUAAAGGGAUCAAGGAUGAGAGCGAAGGGAGAAGGGAGGGUCCCCAAGAAAACCGCACCCAAGCGAGCACUGUCUGAAGAGAAAAACUAGCUCCAGUUCUCCGAAUUCUGGCAGAGCGUCUGGGAAGGCGAUCAGUGCUUCUUUCCAUGGCGCAAGGCCUGGGUUCUGGGUGUGCUUGAAGAAAGCCACUGGGGUGUGGGGUGACAUCGCCAUGGCUGAGAAGGGGCUAGGGGGUCCGGAGGGAAGGAGCCAGGACCGGAACUGCAAGGGCGUUGCUGCCCAGGGGUGUGGAUGAUUGCUCAUGUCCAGCUCAGACCAGUUCAAGAAACUAACCUCCAUUUAUUUUCUUGGUGAGUCCUUUUUUUUUUUUUCAGACUGUUAACAGAAAAAAAAUUUUAAAAAGCAGAAAACUGAAAAAAAAAAUCCUGGUACAUGAAAUAAAGAUUUUUUUUUUUUAUAGCUUGGUCCUCA